GAAGCCACCAUGAUAGGAGGUGAAGACCUUCGUUUCUGCGUCUGUGUUCGCCGGAAGAGAAAGAGAAAGAGAACAAUCAACGAAGAAGAAAGAGAGAGGCUGAGGCAGUGAAGAAGACAGAAAUGGCGAGGACUCGAGGGAGGAAAGGAAAUGUGAGAGGCUGAGGCGCAGACAAAGAAAGAAGAAAUGAAUUAGGAAAUUGAUUCGGCCGGAUCGGCUUUCCACUAUAUUCGGGUAGGAUAGGUCGGCUCGGACGGUUUCGUCGGGUUCGGCUCAUUUUUUACACCCCUAACUGGAGUUUCAGCCAAGCCACAAAGUUUUUUUCCCCUUAGACACGUCGAGAGGCUAAGAGCAUUAAAGAAAAAAAAAACAGAGAGAAACAAGUUGAGGAAUAAAAAAAAAUCACUCUCUCUAUUGCUUCCACCGAAUACCCUCUUCCUCUCCCUCUCCCUCUGCAUUUUUUUUUUUUCUCUUUUCCUUGAUUCAUCCUUCUUCUCCCACAAAGAGCUGCAGCAUUUCAUUGAAGUAAAGGAUUGAUUUGAGCUAGGGUUCAAACUUGAGGAGAAGAAAGAUUCAACUCAGCCCAGAAUUGAAGAGGAAUUAGAUUUUAAAAGGAAUUUGAUAAAGGCAAGAACAAGGCAAAACAGUGAACAUGAGAGUUGGCUUCGUUGACCGCUGUAUAUAUGGUCGGACCAAAAAAA